rnacentral:rRNA from 1 species
UACGGAGGGUGCGAGCGUUGUCCGGAAUCACUGGGCGUAAAGGGCGCGUAGGCGGCUUCCUAAGUCAGGGGUGAAAUCCUGGAGCUCAACUCCAGAACUGCCUUUGAUACUGGGAAGCUUGAGUCCGGGAGAGGUGAGUGGAACUGCGAGUGUAGAGGUGAAAUUCGUAGAUAUUCGCAAGAACACCAGUGGCGAAGGCGGCUCACUGGCCCGGUACUGACGCUGAGGUGCGAAAGCGUGGGGAGCAAACAGG